rnacentral:rRNA from 1 species
UACGGGGGGAGCAAGCGUUGUUCGGAUUUACUGGGCGUAAAGGGCGCGUAGGCGGCCACUGCAAGUCGGUUGUGAAAUCUCCGGGCUUAACCCGGAAAGGUCAAUCGAUACUGCAGGGCUAGAGUGCGGAAGGGGCAACUGGAAUUCUCGGUGUAGCGGUGAAAUGCGUAGAUAUCGGGAGGAAUACCGAUGGCGAAGGCAGGUCUCUGGGCUAUAACUGACGCUCAUGCACGAAAGCGUGGGGAGCAAACAGG